CACAUAUUUUUAGUGAGAGCUUGUGAUCCAGCCACUGCACUGGGCACCGAGGACUCCAAGUGGAAGAUGAUGUCAUCCACAAUGGCAUCUCCAGGGGAAUCGAUUUUGAUGACUCCAAUCAAGGCAGGCGGGUCAAUGGCAGCGACCACUGAAGAUGCUAUGGCUUGAGAGGGAAGGAGAGAGGCAGCCACUGCCUGAGACGGAAUCUCCCUCUGUCGCCCAGCUUGGAGCUCACUGCAACCUCUGCCUCCUGGGUUCAAGCAAUUUUCCUGGCUCAGCCUCCAGAGUAGCUGGGAUUACAGGUGCCUGCCACCAUGCCCAGAAAAUUUUUGUAUUUUUAGUAGAGAUGGGGUUUUGCCAUGGUGAACAGAGUGGCCUCGAACUCCUGACCUCAGGUGAUCAGCCAGUCUUGGUCUCCCAAAGUUCUGGCAUUACAGGCAUGAGCCAUCUCGCCUGGCCUCUUCCUAAUUUUUAAUACUAAAUAUCUCAUGGGGAUUGAGAAUAAAGCAAAUAUUUCCAAAGUGGCAA